rnacentral:rRNA from 1 species
UAGGGAAUAUUGGUAAUGUGCGAAAGCGCGAACCAGCAACGCCGCGUGCACGAUGAAGGCCUUCGGGUCGUAAAGUGCUUUUAGAGAGGAUGAGGAAGGACAGUACUUUCUGAAUAAGCCUCGGCUAACUACGUGCCAGCAGCCGCGGUAAAACGUAGGAGGCUAGCGUUAUCCGGAUUUACUGGGCGUAAAGCGCAUGCAGGUGGUUUUGUAAGUUGGAUGUGAAAGCUCCUGGCUUAACUGGGAGAGGUCGUUCAAAACUACAAGACUUGAGAUUGGUUGAGGAAAAUGGAAUUCCGGGUGUAGUGGUGAAAUGCGUAGAUAUCCGGAGGAACACCAGUGGCGAAAGCGGUUUUCUGGACCAAUUCUGACACUCAGAUGCGAAAGCUAAGGUAGCAAACG